rnacentral:rRNA from 1 species
AGUGAACGCUGGCGGUAGGCCUAACACAUGCAAGUCGAACGGCAGCACAGUAAGAGCUUGCUCUUACGGGUGGCGAGUGGCGGACGGGUGAGGAAUACAUCUGAAUCUACUUUUUCGUGGGGGAUAACGUAGGGAAACUUACGCUAAUACCGCAUACGACCUACGGGUGAAAGCAGGGGAUCUUCGGAUCUUGCGCGAUUGAAUGAGCCGAUGUCGGAUUAGCUAGUUGGCGGGGUAAAGGCCCACCAAGGCGACGAUCCGUAGCUGGUCUGAGAGGAUGAUCAGCCACACUGGAACUGAGACACGGUCCAGACUCCUACGGGAGGCAGCAGUGGGGAAUAUUGGACAAAGGGCGCAAGCCUGAUCCAGCCAUACCGCGUGGGUGAAGAAGGCCUUCGGGUUGUAAAGCCCUUUUGUUGGGAAAGAAAAGCAGCAGGUUAAUACCCCGCUGUUCUGACGGUACCCAAAGAAUAAGCACCGGCUAACUUCGUG